CCGGAGCAAAAAUUGACUGCGUUGCUCACUGGUAAAAGAACAAUUGGAUGUCAACGGCAUUAAAACACCUCGAUUCUAAUCAACACUCAGAAUUAAAGAGUGUGUGUCCUAUGAGUGCAGCCACCCCAGACGACUGAGCAUCUACAGUCACUAGAGGACUACAAAGCUAAGUAAGUCUAGAAAGCCAGACACCAAGUAAGUAAUGCUACCAUCAGGUGAAGACAUUUCCUCGUUCGCUCGCUCACAGCUCCUUAGUCAUCUCCUAGAGAGCAGCCAUUCUAAGCACGAGUUCCUAUGGUCAACUACUGUACAGUCAAACUGGGUGACCAGGCUCAAAGCCCCAUUGUUUCCCCCUGAGCCUUUAGUGCUUCUGUGACUUGGAACACUGCAGGCAACAUGGAUGUUAUUACUUAUUCAGAGGGGCAGGGAAAUGGGAUCAGAAACUAGCUAGCCAUAUACUUUAAGUAGACAAGCAAUACCAAACUAUGUAGUCACUCAGAAUCGCUUAUUCAAAAACAUCCUAACCUGCAGACUGAUGACGCAUGACCGGUUUCUGUAACUCAGAUGCUCUGAGCCUGGGAAGAGUUCUUUUUGAUCUUUCUGGUCAGCUUUUAUUUUGAUCUCAGGCACCAGUGCCGAAGAUGGCUCUGCCUUGCAGGGAAAGCCUUCACACAGACAUGUCUCAGGAUCUCAGGGUCCCCUCCACCACGCCACAGUCUGCCUACUCUCUCCAUUCAGUUGUCUAUUUCCUCCUCUUCGUUCUGGUCGUCCUCGUCCAGUCUCUCUUCAUCCUCCUCCUCCUCCUCUCUGCUUUUGUCUUGCUCUUCGGAAUCCUUUUUGUCUUUGUCCUUCUUCUUUUGCUCCGAAGCCUCCUUCUUGCCUUUCUGCUCCCG
rnacentral:lncRNA from 1 species